rnacentral:rRNA from 1 species
CGAGCGAGCUUGCCUAGAUGAUUUUAGUGCUUGCACUAAAUGAAACUAGAUACAAGCGAGCGGCGGACGGGUGAGUAACACGUGGGUAACCUGCCCAAGAGACUGGGAUAACACCUGGAAACAGAUGCUAAUACCGGAUAACAACACUAGACGCAUGUCUAGAGUUUGAAAGAUGGUUCUGCUAUCACUCUUGGAUGGACCUGCGGUGCAUUAGCUAGUUGGUAAGGUAACGGCUUACCAAGGCAAUGAUGCAUAGCCGAGUUGAGAGACUGAUCGGCCACAUUGGGACUGAGACACGGCCCAAACUCCUACGGGAGACAGCAGUAGGGAAUCUUCCACAAUGGACGAAAGUCUGAUGGAGCAACGCCGCGUGAGUGAAGAAGGGUUUCGGCUCGUAAAGCUCUGUUGGUAGUGAAGAAAGAUAGAGGUAGUAACUGGCCUUUAUUUGACGGUAAUUACUUAGAAAGUCACGGCUAACUACGUGCCAGCAGCCGCGGUAAUACGUAGGUGGCAAGCGUUGUCCGGAUUUAUUGGGCGUAAAGCGAGUGCAGGCGGUUCAAUAAGUCUGAUGUGAAAGCCUUCGGCUCAACCGGAGAAUUGCAUCAGAAACUGUUGAACUUGAGUGCAGAAGAGGAGAGUGGAACUCCAUGUGUAGCGGUGGAAUGCGUAGAUAUAUGGAAGAACACCAGUGGCGAAGGCGGCUCUCUGGUCUGCA